rnacentral:tRNA from 2 species
UGCGGCGUAGCUCAGUUGGUAGAGCACGAAGCUGUUAACUUUGUUGUCGUUGGUUCGAGUCCAACCGCCGCAGCCA